rnacentral:rRNA from 1 species
AGCGAACGCUGGCGGCAGGCCUAACACAUGCAAGUCGAACGAAGUCUUCGGACUUAGUGGCGGACGGGUGAGUAACACGUGGGGACGUGCCUUUAGGUUCGGAAUAACUCAGGGAAACUUGUGCUAAUACCGAAUGUGCCCUUCGGGGGAAAGAUUUAUCGCCUUUAGAGCGGCCCGCGUCUGAUUAGCUAGUUGGUGAGGUAAAGGCUCACCAAGGCUACGAUCAGUAGCUGGUCUGAGAGGAUGACCAGCCACAUUGGGACUGAGACACGGCCCAAACUCCUACGGGAGGCAGCAGUGGGGAAUCUUGCGCAAUGGGCGAAAGCCUGACGCAGCCAUGCCGCGUGGAUGAUGAAGGUCUUAGGAUUGUAAAAUCCUUUCACCGGUAAAGAUAAUGACUGUAGCCGGAGAAGAAGCCCCGGCUAACUUCGUGCCAGCCGCCGCAGUAAGAC